rnacentral:rRNA from 1 species
GGUGCCUAUCUAAGCAGAACCUUAGGUGAUGGUGCUCUAGAUGGUAACCUCAUAACAAUCAAUGAGCACCUAACAAGUGCCGACCAGCAAACCAAUGAUCCGCUAACAAUACCGGAUAAUGGAGCUGACGAGCAGAGGCAUGAGUCCAGAGCUCAGCAUAGGACGAGAGAGCGAUCUUGCAAGGGAAAUAUGGCGGCGAAGAAGUGUCAUGAAAAAAUUGGCAAGCGGAAAUCAUGUACAAAGGUGCCACGUGCUGAGAGGAACGCUCUGCUAAAUCGUCGUAAUGAAAGCUUUGCAGGUAGGGUGAAGACCCCAAGUGUCAGGUCCAGCUCCAUACCGGAAAUGAGCUCAACUGGACAACCUACCGUAGUUGUAGCACACGGUGCCUCAACCUCAUCUAGCAUGCCGGAGUACACGAUCAGAAGUGAAACUAAAUUAAACAUCAAG